CUACGGGUCGCUGCAGUGAGGAAUAUUGCACAAUGGGGGAAACCCUGAUGCAGCAACGCCGCGUGGAGGAUGACGCAUUUCGGUGUGUAAACUCCUUUUAUAUGUCAAGAAAAUGACGGUAGCAUAUGAAUAAGCACCGGCUAACUCCGUGCCAGCAGCCGCGGUAAUACGGAGGGUGCAAGCGUUAUUCGGAAUCACUGGGCGUAAAGGACGCGUAGGCGGGUUAUCAAGUCAGGUGUGAAAUCCUACAGCUUAACUGUAGAACUGCACUUGAAACUGGUAGCCUAGAGUAUGGGAGGGGCAGAUGGAAUUAGUGGUGUAGGGGUAAAAUCCGUAGAUAUCACUAGGAAUACCGAAAGCGAAGGCGAUCUGCUGGAACAUUACUGACGCUAAGGCGUGAAAGCGUGGGGAGCAAACAGGAUUAGAUACCCGUGUAGUC
rnacentral:rRNA from 1 species